rnacentral:lncRNA from 1 species
GUUGUUAUGAUUUGAAACCAUAAACAAAUGUCAUGAGAUCUAAAAUCAUAGGCUGAGCAAGAGAAAAAGAUGAUUUAACAUUUUCUGGACUUAAGCUGGCCUUCAUUUUGUGAUUUAAAUCAAUUAUUUAUCUAUUCUGACUGUAAUUUUCCCCUCUAAUGUUAGGGACCUCCUACUGCUGUAAGGAAAAAGGACGAUGACUGCUCUUGGUGCUUUGAGCUGAGAGGGGGCAAUGUGCAGUGGGGCAAGCAGUUUGGAGUCCCUUUUUAGAAAUUGGGUGGGUCAAGGAGUCCAUGGUAAAAAUCUGGUUCAGGAAGAACCGAUUGUAAAUUCACCUGGGGGUGGGCAUACAAAAUAGCAGUUGUAGCAUCUGGAACCUGUCAGUGAAUAUCCUGAAGAUGAUAGAAAUCAAUAAUUGUUUACCAGGAGGUGGAAGACCUGAGAAAUUGUCCCCAUAAUAAGGCCUAACAAAGCCUAAUAAGGUCCCUUUUUAGGGAACAUAAAUCUUUAACAUUGUCAGAGUUAAAAGGAAUGUAGACACAACAUUUAGUUAAGUUAGUUAAUGUCAUCUGAUUUUUGUAAAAUAUCUUUUUUAUUGGCAUGACCUCUGUGUUCAGUAGAGAUCCCUUUGUUACUUAGGGUUAGAUAAUACUAGCAGACAUUGAUUAAGUCUACCUGUGUAGGAGGUUAGGAAGAUCUGUAGGCCUUAAACUGACUAAAAACUUCUGGCUCUGGCAGUUUCUAUUGAUAGUUAUCAGGCAUCCUUGCCUAAG